GACGAACGCUGGCGGUGUGCUUAACACAUGCAAGUCGAACGGAAAGGCCCUGCUUUUGUGGGGUGCUCGAGUGGCGAACGGGUGAGUCACACGUGAGUUACCUGCCCCUGACUUUGGGAUAACUUCAGGAAAUUGGGGCUAAUACCGUAUAGUAGCUCCUGCUGCAUGGUGGGGGUUGGAAUGUUUCUGCGGUUGGGGAUGGUCUCGCGGUAUAUCAGCUUGUUGGUGGGGUUGUGGCUUACAAAGGUUUUGACGGAUCGCCGGCCUGAGAGGGUGACCGGCCACAGUGGGACUGAGAUACGGCACAGACUCCUACGAGGCACAGCAGUGGGGAAUAUUGCACAAUGGGCGGGACCCUGAUGCAGCAACGCCGCGUGCGAGAUGACGGCCUGCGGGGUGUAAACCGCUUUCGCCUGUGACGAAGCGUGAGUGACGGUAAUAGGUAAAGAAGCACCGGCUAACUACGUG
rnacentral:rRNA from 1 species